UGGAAUAUUCAAAGCCUGGGGUGGA
rnacentral:piRNA from 1 species